AUGUGUGGGAGGCUCCCCCCUGUGAGAAGCGGGGCUGGGUGCACAGAGGAGGGGCGUGGGGUGCAGGCCGGGCCCCGUCCGUGUUCCCAACGCCCAGCUGGGUCCCAACACCAGCGCACACCCUCCACCAGGCAGGUCAUCAUCGAGAUCGCUAACGCCCCGCACCUCGGCGGGCCCUCGUGUCCCUGGGUGGCGCUGUGGCGUCCUGCGUGCUCGGCCGUCAUGUGCUGUCACAGGACCCCCCCCCCCCGGCCUCCCUCGGCCUCGCGGAGGCUCCUUCGGAGUCUUCGGGGUGGAGUCCCCUGCUCGGCCAGGCCCCCCAACUCCGGGCAGGACCAGCUGCCCCGCCUGAGGUGCCUGAGCCAACGUGACAGUGUGGAACCUGCUGUGCCAGACGGCGGGGACUUCCCGGGGCGUGAGCGCAGAGCUCUAACCCACUCGGGGGCCCGGCUGACCGCACGGCCUGCGCGUCUUAAGGAGGCCGCCCUGGCCCAGGCCUCAGCCCCUGGUCCCUGUCUCUCCCCGCCAGCCGGGGGCCGCAGUGGGGCCGCGGCUUAUAGCUCCAUCGGCACCAUCUCCCUGGAGCCCCAGGCUGCUCGCGGCCCCACCUGGGUCCCCCGGGCUUCUGUCUCCCGUGGACUGUCCCUCCCCGCCCGCCCUGGGUGCACCUGCCUUCCCAGAGGCUCCACGGCCCCCGCGGUGCAGACGCUGAGGCCCCGCCGCCCCUCCACCCGCGCCCUCUCUCCCACCGCGUGUCCCGUCCCCCAGGGGAGAGCUUUGGGGCGCCUCGCGAGCAAAGCCUCCAACCUGAGAACUUGGUCCUCCAGGUGCUGCGUCUCCUGUGGCCACUUGCCAAGCAGUCGUCCCGCCUCACUCGUGUCCCGUGUCCCCGGCUCUCGGCGCCAGGGCCGGACUCGACGACCUCGGCACAGAGGCGGGCGCCGUCAAGCCUUCUUUGAGCCCUUCGGCAUGUGGCGAGCACCUGCCCCUCCGUGGCGCUGCCCACAGGGCCCGUGGCCCAGCCGCCCUCGGGACUUCACCUCGGUGCCCGGGUCGUGGCCCGGCCGGUGCGCCCCCGUCUCUGGAGCGCGGCUCCCGGGUCCCUCCGUGGCCCUUCCUCGCCCGCUCGCUUGCAGCUCAGGUGUCGGCCCUCGAAGGGCUCUCGGGUGA
rnacentral:lncRNA from 12 species